UGUAUUCUCUGCAAGAGCACCCACUCAGCACCCACUGCCGCUCGGCACUUCUCAUGAAUGCUCACAGCAACACCGUGUAGGAGAUCAAAAGGAAGUCCAGAGCUCCACCCACUGCCAAGGGCACCCAGCAAGCUCUGCUCCACCCUGGAAGGCUGGACGGCCCUUUCUCCUCCGACCUGGGCACGGCUGCUCUAAACCAGUUCUACCCGCUGGCUGCCUCGGGCCCUGCUCUUCAAGGACAAACACCCAAGCAUCAAGCCUGAGCUGCUCAGACCAAGGUUUGACAUGAGAAGAAGGCGGACUUGGGUCCCAGCCAUUCCAGGGCCAAUCACUUCACUCUCUGUCAUCUGGACCAGUCAAGAAUUCCUACACAUCCCUGGUUACUGAUCUCAGAUGGAAAGAAUUUCUGCCUGACCACCUCCCAGGAGCAAAGUGUAUAGCGAACGUUAUUUCCAAAAGGACAAGGAGGGAAGGGGCUCCAGAGAGCAUCUAGAUGCAGCCCACAGGGUUUCAUUCUCGCCUACAAGAGUAGAAAACUGAAGACACCUGUUUCCGCCAGAAAAUCCAGGCCAUUCACAGGUCAGCUGCUGCAAAACCAAACCAGGGUUAUUGCGGCCACCCCAGCAUCUGACUGACGGCUAGUGAGGAAUCUCAUUCAGGUACGUCAACUCAACCGAUUAUUGUUGAUGCACGUUCCCAGCCGGUUUGUCUCAGGAGCACCAGAAAGUCAAAUAGCUCCAGACCGUACAAGGAGCCUUCCUCAAGUGCUAUCUGCUCUUUCUUCCUAUGGGAUCUCUAAAGGGCCUGCCUCCUUGCACAAAAGGACAGAGACUAAAGUUUUUCCACUAGUGAUGAAUAUCCAGGGAGGAGGCUAUCACUAGCAUUUGGCGAUGUUAAUAUAAACAGCCCAUGAGACUUCUACCAACCUCAGUCGUGAGGACCCUCUUCUGAGUAUCUGAGUUCCAUUCUCUUGGGCCAGCACUAUGAAGAGCAUGACUGAUUGUGUUACACUCUUUGCCAUGGCUGCUAGGAAGCUCAGAGUUCCCCUCCUCACGUCCAUGGUGCACUUGAAAUUGUGAGCUUGCCUGGCUCUCCCUUAUUUUUUCAGUCGCUACUUGCCCUUCUGUUACUUUCUUAUCUGUUUAUUUAAAAUGUCACAUCAUAGUAACAAGAUAAAGUGCUUGUCACCUCCUGUGUGUUGUGAUCUCACAGGAGUCACCUAACUUCUCUGUCUUCUGUUUCUGCAUCUGUAAAGUGGGGAUAAUAGCAGAGCCAUCCUCACAGUGAGGAUCCCAUGAGUUAAUAAAGGCCUGGCACACAGUUAGCACUCAAUCGACAUUAGUGAUUCUUUUUAUUAUUGUUGUUUAUGGGAGCCCACUUAAGUCCUUUGAAGAAUACAUAAUUUUCCCAUCACCGUCAUGAUAGCCCUCCAGGGUGCCCCCUCCCCAGACCUGAGCCCACCCCAGGGAGGCUGUGGGCUUGGCCAGCCUCCCCACACCCCUGACUGGACAGGAGGCUCCUGAGUGUGCCUCAAUAGUGCCGCUACUGCUCCGUCCACUGCGCAGGGC